GACAGAGGGUGCAAACGUUGCUCGGAAUUACUGGGCGUAAAGCGCGUGUAGGCGGUUUCGCAAGUCAGGUGUGAAAGCCCAGGGCUCAACCCUGGAAGUGCACAUGAUACUACGGAGCUUGAGUACUGAAGAGGAGAGCGGAAUUCCUGGUGUAGCGGUGGAAUGCGCAGAUAUCAGGAGGAACACCGAUGGCGAAGGCAGGUCACUGGGCCGCAACUGACGCUGAGGAGCGAAAGCAUGGGGAGCGAACAGG
rnacentral:rRNA from 1 species